UACGUAGGGUCCGAGCGUUGUCCGGAAUUACUGGGCGUAAAGAGCUCGUAGGUGGUUUGUCGCGUUGUUCGUGAAAACUCACAGCUCAACUGUGGGCGUGCGGGCGAUACGGGCAGACUGGAGUACUGCAGGGGAGACUGGAAUUCCUGGUGUAGCGGUGAAAUGCGCAGAUAUCAGGAGGAACACCGGUGGCGAAGGCGGGUCUCUGGGCCGAUAUUGACGCUGAGGAGCGAAAGCGUGGGGAGCGAACAGG
rnacentral:rRNA from 1 species